rnacentral:rRNA from 1 species
UAAUACGUAGGCAGCAAGCGUUGUUCGGAAUUACUGGGCGUAAAGAGUGUGUAGGCGGUGCUCUAAGUCUGUUGUGAAAUCUCCCGGCUUAACCGGGAGGGUGCGGCGGAAACUGGAGUGCUUGAGGGUGGGAGAGGUAAGCGGAAUUCCUGGUGUAGCGGUGAAAUGCGUAGAUAUCAGGAGGAACACCUGUGGUGUAGACAGCUUACUGGACCACUUCUGACGCUGAGACACGAAAGCGUGGGUAGCAAACAGGAUUAGAUACCCUGGUAGUCCACGCCCUAAACGAUGCAUACUUGGUGUGAGCGAUUCAUUUCGUUCGUGCCGGAGCUAACGCGUUAAGUAUGCCGCCUGGGGAGUACGGUCGCAAGGCUG